UACAGAGGUCUCAAGCGUUGUUCGGAUUCAUUGGGCGUAAAGGGUGCGUAGGUGGCGCUGUAAGUCGGGUGUGAAAUUUCGGAGCUUAACUCCGAAUCUGCAUUCGAUACUGCGGUGCUUGAGGACUGGAGAGGAGACUGGAAUUCAUGGUGUAGCAGUGAAAUGCGUAGAGAUCAUGAGGAAGACCAGUGGCGAAGGCGGGUCUCUGGACAGUUCCUGACGCUGAGGCACGAAGGCCAGGGGAGCAAACGGG
rnacentral:rRNA from 1 species